rnacentral:rRNA from 1 species
AACCCGGAGAAAUCCGGACUAAUUCCCGAUAGCACAGGGGCUCCGCAUGGAGAUAUUUGUUAAAGAUUUAUUGGUUAAAGAUGGGCAUGCGUUCCAUUAGCUAGUUGGUGAGGUAACUGCUCACCAAGGCAACGAUGGAUAGGGGAACUGAGAGGUUUAUCCCCCACACUGGGACUGAGACACGGCCCAGACUCCUACGGGAGGCAGCAGUGAGGAAUAUUGGUCAAUGAGGGCAACCUUGAACCAGCCAAGUCGCGUGAAGGAUGACUGUCCUAAGGAUUGUAAACUUCUUUUAUAUGGGAAUAAUUGUAGCCACGUGUGGUUAUUUGCAUGUACCAUAUGAAUAAGGAUCGGCUAACUCCGUGCCAGCAGCCGCGGUAAUACGGAGGAUCCAAGCGUUAUCCGGAUUUAUUGGGUUUAAAGGGUGCGCAGGCGGGAGAUUAAGUCGGUGGUGAAAUUUUGCGGCUCAACCGUAAGAGUGCCAUCGAAACUGGUUUUCUUGAGUGUAGAUAAAGUAGGCGGAAUUUGUGGUGUAGCGGUGAAAUGCAUAGAUAUCACGAGGAACUCCGAUUGCGCAGGCAGCUUACUAAACUACUACUGACGCUCAUGCACGAAGGCGUGGGGAUCAAACAGGAUUAGAUACCCUGGUAGUCCACGCAGUAAACGAUG